UACGUAGGGGGCAAGCGUUGUCCGGAAUCAUUGGGCGUAAAGCGCGUGUAGGCGGCUCGAUAAGUCUGCUGUGAAAGUCCAGGGUUCAACCCUGGGAUGCCGGUGGAUACUGUCGGGCUCGAGUCCGGAAGAGGCGAGUGGAAUUCCUGGUGUAGCGGUGAAAUGCGCAGAUAUCAGGAGGAACACCAAUGGCGAAGGCAGCUCGCUGGGACGUGACUGACGCUGAGACGCGAAAGCGUGGGGAGCAAACAGG
rnacentral:rRNA from 1 species